rnacentral:lncRNA from 1 species
CCAAAACAACAAUUGGAUACUGCUCUAAUUCAAAUGUUAUAUACAAUGCUCAACUGUUAUCCACAAACAGUAUCAAGAUGAACACAUUGCACAAUCAUUAAUAAAAUGGUAACAAAAUUACACACACACACACAUAUAUAUUGUUCGCAGGUUCAAGCACAAGUCAAUCUUCACAAAAGCAAAGCUUGGCCAUCUUGGCAACCAUCCAGAAAACACAAGUCACAUAAAAGGACCCCUAUUCACUGGUCUAAAAUAGUUCAAACACUAGAUGGUCCAAAUAAUUGAGUAACAUCCAUGAGCACAAGAUUUCUACUCCAUAACACUUGAGCACCAAAUGGUCCAGAAAACACAUAAGAUUCACGAUUACAAUUAAGUUGGCUGGUCCAAAAUACUGUAGACAGCCAAAUGCUCCAGAACACUUCAAAGUCAUCACAUCCAUGCGUACUAGGUUGCUGAUUACCUGAAAAUACUCCACAAGAAUUUGGUAGAAAGUGGAGUCAGCUCAAGUGCUUUGAAGCUCAUAGGGAGAUUGGCAGCCGAGAGAAGCACAAGAAUUAACUAUUUAUGACAUAUAUCCAUAACACACAUAACAUAGUUCGGUCAUACAUGAGGUCAAAUAUUUAUAAAAUGCUGAAACGAAUCAUCAUGCAGACAUAUCUACAUAUGCAUAGAAUAAGUAUUUCGCCAUGGCAAGCAUAUCUACAAAUUUUAUUCAACGUCUUACAUGCAAGAAAAUGUAGUAGGAUAAGCCAAUGUGAAGUUGUAUUUGUUCUAAUACGAAGUUAGCUGAUGUGAUCUUCAAAGUUUGAAAAUAAUGGUACAAAUAAGUGUUAGUACGUUAUCUGAUGAAGUAGAACUAAAAUGUACAAGUUCUGACCAAAAAAAUUGUAAUAUGUGAAGUUCAGUUUAUGCCAUGUGAUUUUCAGAUUGUGACCACCAAAGGGAUAACGCCAAACUAAUGUGUGUAUGUUUAACUCCUAAGCAAUGUAUGUGCGCUUCAAAUCAUGUUGUGUCAUUUUCAUAUUUUUAAUUAUAAACUGCAGUAUGUGGAGUUUUAUCAACAAGAUACAAAACAUAUCUAGUAAUGCUAUAAGUUCAGGCAGAAAUCUGGCUCUCUAGUCAAGGCUCAAAAUGAUCUAUGUAUAUUUCUAAGAGAGAAAUAAUAAACUUAAUGUAUGUCAUAUGUUUAGUACCUGCACCUGGUACAUUAGUUGCCUUCUUGUCAUCCUUGAUCUACAACAAUAACCGUGAAAUAGCAGGUGCCUUCUUAUCAGUUUGAGGCUACUUCUUCCACUGCAAAUUGCUCUGACAAAAUGUGUAGACAUGUAUCAACCAUCCUGCAAAAAAGGAAAAAUGUGUUCAAUAUAGAUAACUCGACUUCCCAUAAAUCAAAUCAUAAAGUAAAGGCCAAAGGUCUGCAAGUUAUGUACUUGGUUAGUAUAAUGAAUGAACUUGUCAAAAGAACAAAUAUUAUGCCAUCAACCAGAAUGAACACAAACAUCUCAUAAAAGUACAUUGAAAGUCUGAAUUCUGAAACUAUCUAGCCACUGCACUAAGGCGGCCUCUAAGGUUUGAAUGUGAUCGGAACUUGCAACUCCCCUCUGGAAACCAUAUCCAGCUUCAAGUAGUUGAAGGUAUGUGGAUGCAGAGGAAGAUGAGAUUAUAUGUUGAACCUAAGGUUUGAAUGCUAAUGCCAUAUUCAUGAAAAAGGAAAACUUCACCGUGCUCACAUAAAAAAAUUAUAUCAAACGAAGACACCGUUAUUCAUAAAUAUCCAGUGUAUUCAAAAGUGAUGGAGAAUAAAAUUGGAAUGUGCCUCCUCAAACGCUGACUGGACUCAGGGUCCACCUCGGCGCCCUCCGCUCGCCCACCUCCCGUCCUCGUUGACAGGUAGUACCACGGACUUGCUGCCCUGUAGGCUCAACAUCAUGUACAACCGCUCCUGCAGCACCAAGCACGUCGACCCAAAAUUAAACCAUGUAGCAUCAGAAACUACAAGAUGUUACAGCACAAACAACAUUCAGUUCUACAACAAAGUUGAAGCCAACUCAAUGGUUUGCACUAUAUAACUUAGUAAUAUGUAUUGACAAUCAAAAGUGCUUCAAGUAAAAAAAACACAGAGGUUAUGCACCUACUUCCGUUUGACCACGACAACUCACCCACAGAAUUGGAAGUCACACAAUGGGUCACGGCUUUAAAUAACAAAAUUGAACCACCUAGAAAUCAGGAAGUCACACAAUGCUAACACUUUGUAAUUUAAAGGAGAUAAAGAGUUCAGAAUCGUAUGAUGAAUAGAAAAAUGAAAAUCAGCUAUGAGACAUGGAUGUCAGAUGGCUUGCUAUGUUUUGUAGCACCAAUCUAUGUGUAAAAAUUGAGAUGCUGAGAAAUAGGAAUAAGAAUUGUACAAUAAACAAAUCUUAGCAGAAAAUAUGAAAGUAUUACCCUAAUUUUCAGAGUUCAGCAAUGACAUAUGGUUUAAUGUUCAGCAAUGCACAAGCACGCAUCAUGCAACAGUACAGAAAAGGAUAUCUCAGGAGGAGCCGAUGCCUACCUAUUGGAAAAGACGAGUCUGUGUGGAUAUCUGCAGCAACAGACGACUGGCUUCGGG